rnacentral:rRNA from 1 species
AUUGAACGCUGGCGGCAGGCCUAACACAUGCAAGUCGAGCGGUUGACGGGAGCUUGCUCCCUGAUUCAGCGGCGGACGGGUGAGUAAUGCCUAGGAAUCUGCCUAUUAGUGGGGGACAACGUUUCGAAAGGAACGCUAAUACCGCAUACGUCCUACGGGAGAAAGCAGGGGACCUUCGGGCCUUGCGCUAACAGAUGAGCCUAGGUCGGAUUAGCUUGUUGGUGAGGUAAUGGCUCACCAAGGCGACGAUCCGUAACUGGUCUGAGAGGAUGAUCAGUCACACUGGAACUGAGACACGGUCCAGACUCCUACGGGAGGCAGCAGUGGGGAAUAUUGGACAAUGGACGAAAGCCUGAUCCAGCCAUGCCGCGUGUGUGAAGAAGGUCUUCGGAUUGUAAAGCACUUUAAGUUGGGAGGAAGGGUUGUAGAUUAAUACUCUGCAAUUUUGACGUUACCGACAGAAUAAGCACCGGCUAACUCUGUGCCAGCAGCCGCAGUAAAAC